GAUGAACGCUGGCGGCGUGCUUAACACAUGCAAGUCGAACGAACCUUCGGGUUAGUGGCGGACGGGUGAGUAACGCGUGAGAAUCUGCCCUCAGGAGGGGGAUAACGGUUGGAAACGGCCGCUAAUACCCCAUAUGCCGCGAGGUGAAAUGAAUUUCGCCUGAGGAUGAGCCCGCGUCUGAUUAGCUAGUUGGUGAGGUAAGAGCUCACCAAGGCAUCGAUCAGUAGCUGGUCUGAGAGGAUGAUCAGCCACACUGGGACUGAGACACGGCCCAGACUCCUACGGGAGGCAGCAGUGGGGAAUUUUCCGCAAUGGGCGAAAGCCUGACGGAGCAACGCCGCGUGAGGGAUGAAGGCCUCUGGGCUGUAAACCUCUUUUAUCAAGGAAGAAGAUCUGACGGUACUUGAUGAAUAAGCCACGGCUAAUUCCGUG
rnacentral:rRNA from 1 species